rnacentral:rRNA from 1 species
GGAAUAUUGGUCAAUGGACGCAAGUCUGAACCAGCCAUGCCGCGUGCAGGAUGAAGGCCCUAUGGGUCGUAAACUGCUUUUAUACGGGAAAAAACCCAUCUACGUGUAGAUGGCUGAUGGUACCGUAAGAAUAAGGAUCGGCUAACUCCGUGCCAGCAGCCGCGGUAAUACGGAGGAUCCAAGCGUUAUCCGGAUUUAUUUGGUUUAAAGGGUGCGUAGGCGGAAUAGUAAGUCAGUGGUGAAAGCCUACAGCUUAGCUGUAGAAUUGCCAUUGAUACUGCUAAUCUUGAGUAUAGAUGAAGUGGGCGGAAUGUGUCAUGUAGCGGUGAAAUGCUUAGAUAUGACACAGAACACCGAUUGCGAAGGCAGCUCACUAAACUAUAACUGACGCUGAGGCACGAAAGCGUGGGGAUCAAAC